AGUGAACGCUGGCGGUAGGCCUAACACAUGCAAGUCGAACGGCAGCACAGUAAGAGCUUGCUCUUACGGGUGGCGAGUGGCGGACGGGUGAGGAAUACAUCGGAAUCUACUUUUUCGUGGGGGAUAACGUAGGGAAACUUACGCUAAUACCGCAUACGACCUACGGGUGAAAGCAGGGGAUCUUCGGACCUUGCGCGAGUGAAUGAGCCGAUGUCGGAUUAGCUAGUUGGCGGGGUAAAGGCCCACCAAGGCGACGAUCCGUAGCUGGUCUGAGAGGAUGGUUAGACACACUGGAACUGAGACACGGUCCAGACUCCUACGGGAGGCAGCAGUGGGGAAUAUUAGACAAUGGGGGAAAGCCUGAUCCAGCCAUACCGCGUGGGUGAAGAAGGCCUUCGGGUUGUAAAGCCCUUUUGUUGGGAAAGAAAAGCAGCAGGUUAAUACCCCGCUGUUCUGACGGUACCCAAAGAAUAAGCACCGGCUAACUUCGUG
rnacentral:rRNA from 1 species